CGGAGCAAAAUAUUUAAGAGUUUUGGGACUCAAUCAACAUGGAGAUGAUUGGCCGUGGCUUUGCAGACAGUCGGGGUUGUGUGCAAAUUGUGCAAAACGUGCAACAUCAACUCCAAAGGAUCCUGUCAGGACCUCUUCAUGCGAAUCAGAGCGGAGAUGAAAAAUAGAGCCACAUAUGACAAGUUGUUCCAAAAAGUCAGGGAAGCUUCUGGUGGAUGGUCUGUCGUUCUAUGUCCGCAUGAUGGAGACCUUUGCGGACCACACUGUGAGGUGUUAACCUCAUGUGAAAAGAUCUUGCCGUGCAGAGCGUCCUGUAGGGGUGCAUCCAGCUCAACAAGCACUUCUGGACUACGCGUUGGACGUAGAAAAACCAGAACAGGAGCUGAUUGUUUGCACCGGUGUGUCUGACCCGUGGGGACUUCUGGACAUUAGAGUGGAACAAAUACAUGGAAUAGAGAUUUUCAGGUGGGAAAUGAUUACUUGGACCUGGUUGGACAGAGAGCACGAGCAAA